UCGAGAAUUUUUCUCAAUGGGGGAAACCCUGAAGGAGCGACGCCGCGUGGAGGAUGACGGUCUUCGGAUUGUAAACUCCUGUCAUUUGAGAACAAGGAACGUUUAUUAACUGUAGACGUUUUGAUAGUAUCAGAAGAGGAAGGGACGGCUAACUCUGUGCCAGCAGCCGCGGUAAUACAGAGGUCCCGAGCGUUGUUCGGAUUCAUUGGGCGUAAAGGGUGCGUAGGCGGUCGCGUAAGUCGGAUGUGAAAUCUUGGGGCUCAACCUCAAAACUGCAUUCGAUACUGCGAGGCUAGAGGACUGGAGAGGAGAGUGGAAUUCACGGUGUAGCAGUGAAAUGCGUAGAGAUCGUGAGGAAGACCAACGGCGAAGGCAGCUCUCUGGACAGUAUCUGACGCUGAGGCACGAAGGCCAGGGGAGCAAACGG
rnacentral:rRNA from 1 species